ACCUGGCAGGCUCAGUUGGUGGAGCGUACGACUUUUGAUCUUGGGGUUGUGAGUUCGAGCCCCACGUGAGGCA
rnacentral:tRNA from 1 species